UGGGAGCCUACCAUGCAGUCGAGCGGCAGCGACAACAUUGAACCUUCGGGGGAUUUGUUGGGCGGCGAGCGGCGGACGGGUGAGUAAUGCCUAGGAAAUUGCCCUGAUGUGGGGGAUAACCAUUGGAAACGAUGGCUAAUACCGCAUGAUGCCUACGGGCCAAAGAGGGGGACCUUCGGGCCUCUCGCGUCAGGAUAUGCCUAGGUGGGAUUAGCUAGUUGGUGAGGUAAGGGCUCACCAAGGCGACGAUCCCUAGCUGGUCUGAGAGGAUGAUCAGCCACACUGGAACUGAGACACGGUCCAGACUCCUACGGGAGGCAGCAGUGGGGAAUAUUGCACAAUGGGCGCAAGCCUGAUGCAGCCAUGCCGCGUGUAUGAAGAAGGCCUUCGGGUUGUAAAGUACUUUCAGUAGGGAGGAAGGUUCAUACGUUAAUAGCGUAUGGAUUUGACGUUACCUACAGAAGAAGCACCGGCUAACUCCGUGCCAGCAGCCGCGGUAAUACGGAGGGUGCGAGCGUUAAUCGGAAUUACUGGGCGUAAAGCGCAUGCAGGUGGUUAGUUAAGUCAGAUGUGAAAGCCCGGGGCUCAACCUCGGAAUUGCAUUUGAAACUGGCUGACUAGAGUACUGUAGAGGGGGGUAGAAUUUCAGGUGUAGCGGUGAAAUGCGUAGAGAUCUGAAGGAAUACCGGUGGGCGAAAGCGGCCCCCUGGACAGAUACUGACACUCAGAUGCGAAAGCGUGGGGAGCAAACAGGAUUAGAUACCCCGGGUAAU
rnacentral:rRNA from 1 species